rnacentral:lncRNA from 1 species
UCCCCAAAAUUCCCAGAUCCCCCCCCAAAAUCUCUGAGACCCCAAAAAACUUUGGGAUCCCCCCCCCCAAAAAAAAAUUUUGGGAUGUCCCAAAAAAAUUCCUGAUCCCCUUUUAUGGUGGAUUCCUUUGGGAAAUCCCACAGGUUCCCAAAAAAGGGGGGAACCCCUAAAUCCAUUCUGGGGACCCCAAAUUCACCCUGGGGACCCCAAAUCCAUCCCAGGGACCCCAAAUUCAUUCUGGAGACCCCAAAUCCAUCCCAGGGACCCCAAAUCCACCCCGGGGACCCCAAAUCCAUUCUGGGGACCCCAAAUCCAUUCUGGGGACCCCAAAUCCAUCCCAGGGACCCCAAAUUCAUUCUGGAGACCCCAAAUCCAUUCUGGGGACCCCAAAUCCACCCCGGGGACCCCCAAAUCCACCCCGGGGACCCCCAAAUCUUCAGGGGGGGUCAGAGGAGCCUCUCCCUGCUGCUCUCCAGCUGCUGCUGCUGCUGCUGCUGCCAAUGGCGGAAGCGUUUGGUUUUGGGGUGCAGGAACUGAACCACGUCCAUGGGAACCCGCACGGUGUCCAGGCCGUUCACCUGGGGACCCCAAAAACACCUGAGUCACCCCAAAAACACCUGAGUCAUCCUAAAAAACACCCGAGUCACCCCAAAAACACCUGAGUCACCCCAAAAAAACACCUGAAUCAUCCUAAAAACACCCCAAAAACACCUGAGUCACCCCAAACCACCCAAGACAUCCCAAACCACCCCAAAAACACCCAAAAAAUCCCCCCAAAACACCUCAGUCACCCCAAAAAACUCCCCUGGUGCAACACGGCCAUGGGUACCCACAGUGUCCCAGCUCUGUUCACAUGGGGACCCCAAAAGCACCCCAAAAAAAACCUCAGGCAUCCUAAAAACACCCCAAAAACACCUGAGUCACCCCAAACCACCCAAGACAUCCCAAACCACCCCAAAAAACCCCAAAGUCACCCCAAAAAACCCCAAAAAUACCCCCAGGGUACCAUGUCCAUGGGCACCCGCACUAUGUCCAAACCAUUGACAUGGGGGACCCCAAAUGCACCCCAAAAAAACCUCAGUCAUCCUAAAAACAUCCCAAAAAUACCU